rnacentral:rRNA from 1 species
CUGAAUAACUGAGCAGAUCGCUUCGGUCUCGUACCGGCGAUGUAUCCUUCAAGUGUCUGCCUUAUCAACUUUCGAUGGUAGUUUAUGUGCCUACCAUGGUUGUAACGGGUAACGGAGAAUUAGGGUUCGAUUCCGGAGAGGGAGCCUGAGAAACGGCUACCACUUCUAAGGAAGGCAGCAGGCGCGCAAAUUACCCACUCUCGGCACGAGGAGGUAGUGACGAAAAAUAACGAGACGAUUCUCUUUUGAGUAUCGUCAUCGGAAUGAGAACAAUCCAAAUCCUUUAACGAGGACCUAGCGGAGGGCAAGUCUGGUGCCAGCAGCCGCGGUAAUUCCAGCUCCGCCAGUGUAUAUCUAUGCUGCUGCGGUUAAAAAG